GUAAUGGUGUCUUUAGACACCAUUUUUUUUAUCUUCGAAAUAUUAU
rfam:Picea glauca, whole genome shotgun sequence.